AAAGGAAUUGACGGGGGCCCGCACAAGCAGCGGAGCAUGUGGUUUAAUUCGAAGCAACGCGAAGAACCUUACCAGGUCUUGACAUCCCUCUGACGUAUACAGAGAUGUAUAUUUCCUUCGGGACAGGGGAGACAGGUGGUGCAUGGUUGUCGUCAGCUCGUGUCGUGAGAUGUUGGGUUAAGUCCCGCAACGAGCGCAACCCUUAUCUUUAGUUGCCAGCACUUCGGGUGGGGACUCUAGAGAGACUGCCGGGGACAACUCGGAGGAAGGUGGGGAUGACGUCAAAUCAUCAUGCCCCUUAUGUCCUGGGCUACACACGUGCUACAAUGGUCUGAAACAAAGGGAAGCGAAGGCGUAAGUCGGAGCAAACCCCAAAAACCAGAUCCCAGUUCGGAUUGUGGGCUGCAACCCGCCCACAUGAAGUCGGAGUUGCUAGUAAUCGCGAAUCAGCAUGUCGCGGUGAAUGCGUUCCCGGGCCUUGUACACACCGCCCGU
rnacentral:rRNA from 1 species